UGGGGAAUAUUGCACAAUUGGCGCAAGCCUGAUGCAGCCAUGCCGCGUGUGUGAAGAAGGCCUUCGGGUUGUAAAGCACUUUCAGCGGGGAGGAAGGCGUUAAGGUUAAUAACCUUGGCGAUUGACGUUACCCGCAGAAGAAGCACCGGCUAACUCCGUGCCAGCAGCCGCGGUAAUACGGAGGGUGCAAGCGUUAAUCGGAAGUACUGGGCGUAAAGCGCACGCAGGCGGUCUGUCAAGUCGGAUGUGAAAUCCCCGGGCUCAACCUGGGAAAUGCAUUCGAAACUGGCAGGCUAGAGUCUUGUAGAGGGGAGUAGAAUUCCAGGUGUAGCGGUGAAAUGCGUAGAGAUCUGGAGGAAUACCGGUGGCGAAGGCGGCCCCCUGGACAAGGACUGACGCUCAGGUGCGAAAGCGUGGGGAGCAAACAGG
rnacentral:rRNA from 1 species